rnacentral:rRNA from 1 species
GUGUUUAAAGCAAGCUAACGCUUGAAUACAUUAGCAUGGAAUAAUGGAAUAGGACGUUCGAUCCUAUUUUGUUGGUUUCUUAGGAUUGACGUAAUGAUUAAUAGGGAUAGUUGGGGGCAUUAGUAUUCAAUUGUCAGAGGUGAAAUUCUUUGGAUUUAUUGAAGACUAACUACUGCGAAAAGCAUUUUGCCAAGGAUGUUUUCAUUAAUCAAGAACGAAAGUUAGGGGAUCGAAGACGAUCAGAUACCGUCGUAGUCUUAACCAUAAACUAUGCCGACUAGGGAUCGGAUGAUGUUAAUUUUUUAAUGACUCAUUCGGCGCCUUACG